rnacentral:rRNA from 1 species
ACAGAGGGUGCGAGCGUUAAUCGGAAUUACUGGGCGUAAAGCGAGUGUAGGUGGCUCAUUAAGUCACAUGUGAAAUCCCCGGGCUUAACCUGGGAACUGCAUGUGAUACUGGUGGUGCUAGAAUAUGUGAGAGGGAAGUAGAAUUCCAGGUGUAGCGGUGAAAUGCGUAGAGAUCUGGAGGAAUACCGAUGGCGAAGGCAGCUUCCUGGCAUAAUAUUGACACUGAGAUUCGAAAGCGUGGGUAGCAAACAGG